rnacentral:tRNA from 1 species
GAUUUAGUACUUUAAAUAAAAGAUUUGAUUUGCAUUCAAAAAAUAGAUUAUAUAAUCUCUAGAUCA